CCAAAAGCUAAGUUGAAACUAGUGAGAGAUUUCGGAAGUCUCAGUGUCAGAAGUUCGGAGGGCUCAGUUCCACAUCUAUUAAGCUGCCCUCUGUGCUCGAUCAGGUUUAGGAAUUCUCCCAAAACAAGCAGCACUACCCCACCUCUUGCCCUAGAUUUUCUUACAUCAGACAAGGAAAAAGUAUCUCUGCCUGGGUCUGCAUAAAGCUAAAAAAAAAAAAAAAUCAGAGAGCCAGUCCCUCUUUCAAACACACAUGAACAUUUUAACAUGAAAAAAAUCCCUUUAUUUAAGAGGGAAAAGGAAGGGAGGGAGAGAAGAAAAAGAGCAAAAAAGAAAAAGAAAAAGUAAAACAAGAACUUAUGGACCUAAUUUUCAAGGAAAGAGAUGGGGGAGGAGGUGAAUGUCCUUACUUCCUAGAGUGAAGCCUGGUGCCAGCUUUGCCAAGGCUCACCACAUCUCUGUUGCCACAUUCCGUUGGCACCUAAAAGUCAAUGAAACACAGAUUUCACUGCAAGCCAAAAGUUGAAUUUCACAAAGGUCAAAGGGAAAGUUCAAGUUGCUGUGUCAGUGAGUCUCAAACCACAGGAUGAGAUGUGCUGACGGCCACACAGAAUACCCUCAACAGCGGAGCAGCGCCUUGCCAGACAGGAUAUGUUUCUGCUCUUGAGGAAUCGCCUCACUGAGACACUGGCAAUAUACCUUGAUGUGCAGAUAAAGC